GGGGCUGUGGUUCAGUGGAAGAGCAUUCGCUUGGCAUACAGAAGGGCACGGGUUCAAGCCCUGGCAUUUCCA
rnacentral:tRNA from 1 species